rnacentral:rRNA from 1 species
UACGUAGGUGGCAAGCGUUAUCCGGAAUUAUUGGGCGUAAAGCGCGCGCAGGCGGUUUCUUAAGUCUGAUGUGAAAGCCCACGGCUCAACCGUGGAGGGUCAUUGGAAACUGGGGAACUUGAGUGCAGAAGAGAAAAGCGGAAUUCCACGUGUAGCGGUGAAAUGCGUAGAGAUGUGGAGGAACACCAGUGGCGAAGGCGGCUUUUUGGUCUGUAACUGACGCUGAGGCGCGAAAGCGUGGGGAGCGAACAGGAUUAGAAA